rnacentral:rRNA from 1 species
GAUGAACGCUGGCGGCGUGCCUAAUACAUGCAAGUCGAGCGAACGGACGAGAAGCUUGCUCCUCUGACGUUAGCGGCGGACGGGUGAGUAACACGUGGAUAACCUACCUAUAAGACUGGGAUAACUUCGGGAAACCGGAGCUAAUACCGGAUAAUAUUUUGAACCGCAUGGUUCAAAAGUGAGAGACGGUUUUGCUGUCACUUAUAGAUGGAUCCGCGCUGCAUUAGCUAGUUGGUAAGGUAACGGCUUACCAAGGCAACGAUGCGUAGCCGACCUGAGAGGGUGAUCGGCCACACUGGAACUGAGACACGGUCCAGACUCCUACGGGAGGCAGCAGUAGGGAAUCUUCCGCAAUGGGCGAAAGCCUGACGGAGCAACGCCGCGUGAGUGAUGAAGGUCUUCGGAUCGUAAAACUCUGUUAUUAGGGAAGAACAAAUGUGUAAGUAACUAUGCACGUCUUGACGGUACCUAAUCAGAAAGCCACGGCUAACUACGUG